GACGAACGCUGGCGGCGUGCUUAACACAUGCAAGUCGAACGGAAAGGCCCUGCUUUUGUGGGGUGCUCGAGUGGCGAACGGGUGAGUAACACGUGAGUAACCUGCCCUUGACUUUGGGAUAACUUCAGGAAACUGGGGCUAAUACCGGAUAGGAGCUCCUGCGGCAUGGUGGGGGUUGGAAAGUUUCGGCGGUUGGGGAUGGACUCGCGGCUUAUCAGCUUGUUGGUGGGGUAGUGGCUUACCAAGGCUUUGACGGGUAGCCGGCCUGAGAGGGUGACCGGCCACAUUGGGACUGAGAUACGGCCCAGACUCCUACGGGAGGCAGCAGUGGGGAAUAUUGCACAAUGGGCGGAAGCCUGAUGCAGCAACGCCGCGUGCGGGAUGACGGCCUUCGGGUUGUAAACCGCUUUCGCCUGUGACGAAGCGUGUGUGACGGUAAUGGGUAAAGAAGCACCGGCUAACUACGUG
rnacentral:rRNA from 1 species